UAGUCCACGCCCUAAACGAUGUCAACUAGCUGUUGGAGGAAAUCAGUCCUUUAGUAGCGUAGCUAACGCGCUAAGUUGACCGCCUGGGGAGUACGGCCGCAAGGUUAAAACUCAAAUGAAUUGACGGGGGCCCGCACAAGCGGUGGAGCAUGUGGUUUAAUUCGAUGCAACGCGAAGAACCUUACCUGGCCUUGACAUGCCGAGAACUUUCCAGAGAUGGAUUGGUGCCUUCGGGAACUCGGACACAGGUGCUGCAUGGCUGUCGUCAGCCCGUGUCGUGAGAUGUUGGGUUAAGUCCCGCAACGAGCGCAACCCUUGUCCUUAGUUGCCAGCACGUAAAGGUGGGAACUCUAAGGAGACUGCCGGUGACAAACCGGAGGAAGGCGGGGAUGACGUCAAGUCAUCAUGGCCCUUACGGCCAGGGCUACACACGUGCUACAAUGGGCAGUACAGAGGGUUGCGAAGCAGCGAUGUGAAGCUAAUCCCAGAAAGCUGUCCGUAGUCCGG
rnacentral:rRNA from 1 species